GACGAACGCUGGCGGCGUGCUUAACACAUGCAAGUCGAACGGAAAGGCCCUGCUUUUGUGGGGUGCUCGAGUGGCGAACGGGUGAGUAACACGUGAGUAACCUGCCCUUGACUUUGGGAUAACUUCAGGAAACUGGGGCUAAUACCGGAUAGGAGCUCCUGCUGCAUGGUGGGGGUUGGAAAGUUUCGGCGGUUGGGGAUGGACUCGCGGCUUAUCAGCUUGUUGGUGGGGUAGUGGCUUACCAAGGCUUUGACGGGUAGCCGGCCUGAGAGGGUGACCGGCCACAUUGGGACUGAGAUACGGCCCCGACUCCUACGGGAGGCAGCAGUGGGGAAUAUUGCACAAUGGGCGGAAGCCUGAUGCAGCAACGCCGCGUGCGGGAUGACGGCCUUCGGGUUGUAAACCGCUUUCGCCUGUGACGAAGCGUGAGUGACGGUAAUGGGUAUAGAAGCACCGGCUAACUACGUG
rnacentral:rRNA from 1 species